rnacentral:lncRNA from 1 species
CCGGACCGGGCCGGCCGUGUCCUUUCCGCGGUCCGCCCAGUUGCCGGCAUGCCUGUCUCCGAGCUCCGCACAAGAGACGGGAGAACGCCGGGGAACGGGAGGAGCCCGAAGUUGCGGAUCCCACGAGGAAGCGUCCUGCACUUCCUGGUGACAAGGCAGACUCCCAGAAGCACCAGCAACAGCAGCAUGACAGCAGCAAAUGCACUCCCGAGGGAAGCACCCGUCUGUGAUAAGGAGGCUGCGACCACAGCUUCCUCCAUCUCCAAGAUCAGCGACUUCAUGUUGGUGCCGUUCUUGACCUGAUCGCCCUCGUUGUCGUAGAUCAAGGAGUCAUCCAGCAUCAGCCUCCCAUCACUGUCAACCAGGUCCCUGCGGCCACGCUUUAAGUGGUGAGUAAGAGAUCGUUGAACACGAGGCCCCGCAAUGCUCUCUGGGCCUAUUAUGUAGAUAACUUGAAGGUACCACUGAUGUCC